UGAAGUCCAGUAGUCCACCUACCGCACAACAAACUGAGUGUGCUAGAGAGCCAUGGCUAUGGAGGUUCUGUACCCGUUCUUCCUCUGCCUCGCCGUGCUCACCGGCAGAGCAGUCUCCGCCCCACCACACUCGCAGUGCCACGACAACCCGCCGGACAUGACGGCCGCCAGGGUCGAGGCGGGAAAGGUCGUCCAUGACUUUGCUGGCUACACGGCUUACGUUACCGGCGCCAUCCACUCCGACCGGGCCGUCGUCCUGGCCUCCGACGUCUACGGAUUCGAAGCGCCGUUGCUGAGGACAAAUUUACGGCCGACGCUUGCAGGAUCAUACAUGGAGGCCAGCAGCGGGCCUAUAGGGAGGAGGUUAUUCGUUUUUUUGGCUGAUGCUAGUGCUGUUGGGCACCAACUAUUUUUGGCGGAUCGUGCCCAAAGUGACGUAUAUGAAUCAAUUUCAAAUCAUGUAUGGUUGUGAUUAAUGUUUAACAUGACAAGGAAGGAAGAUAGCAGACAAAAUUGGUGAAGCUGGAUACUAUGUCGUGGUCCCUGAUUUCUUUAAUGGGCAACCUUUAACGGGGGCACCAGGUGAAAACCUCACACAAUGGCUCAGUGAGCACUCUCCGGUAAAAGCUGCUCAAGAUGCUAAACCAAUAUUUGCAACCUUGAGAAAAGAGCGAAAAUUUAGUCUUGGAGUUGGAGGAUACUGUUGGGGUGGAAAGUUCGCAGUGGAGGUAGCGAAAAUGAAUGAGGUGAAGGCAGUUGUCAUCUCCCAUCCUUACUCAGUCAUUGUCGGUGAUAUGAGAGAGGUCAAGUGUCCCAUUGAAAUCCUUGGAGGCGAAUAUGACCAAGCUACACCACAAAAGUUCAUAUAUCAGUUUUUGAAUGCCCUUCGCAAAAGAAGUGACAAGAUACCUUACUUCGGGAAGAUCUUUCCAGGAGUUUGCCAUGGCUUUGCUUGUAGAUACAAUGUCACCAACCCAUUCGAAGUCGAAACCGGUGAACAAGCUCUUGCCCUAAUGGUUGGAUGGUUCGAGAAACAUCUGAAAUGACAAAUGCUAAUCAUAAAGGUCAGAUUGAUCUGACCUAUUUAGUUUCAUAUCCAUGUAAAAGUUUCCAACACAAUAUUUAUGUAAUUGCAUAUUCAUAAACGUAAUGUACAUGAAGACGUGGAUAUUGGAAGUACAACACCUGUGAUGAAUGAUGACUUUUGGGAAAGUCAGCAUUCAAAUUAUCCACUCUUCACCCCGCUACAACAAAUUCCUCAGUCCCCUGCACCAACAGUUCAAAUGGGCUCUGAAGAAACUCAUCCCACCUCGUCUGUGCGUGAAGACAUUCCAGCCACUAGUGCUGAAGAAACUGCUGCUGCUGAUCAUGUGACAACACAGACUGCACCUGAAGAGGAACCAGAAAUUCCUCAGACUGAUGAACCUGAGAUUGCGAUUCCUGAGGUCGUGAUGCAACUCACUAACACUCCUCUGCCAAAGCCAAAGGAUCCGUUCUCAAGGAAGCAAAAAUUCAAGGCUGAAGACUUCUUUGGCGAGCAUGUAUUCUUCACAGAUUACAACCCCUAUGACUCUGCUAGCAUAAGGAAGAGACAUUUUUGGACUGCUAGUCAAGCAAAUUUCUAUUCCAUAGUGCUGUUUAACAAAGACAAAGUCUUCGAUCAUGCACAUAUUCCUCA